UACAGAGGUGGCGAGCGUUGUUCGGAAUUACUGGGCGUAAAGGGCGCGUAGGCGGUCUUGCAAGUCUUGUGUGAAAUCCCUCGGCUUAACUGAGGAACUGCACGAGAUACUGUUUGACUUGAGUUCGGGAGAGGGAAGCGGAAUUCCGGGUGUAGUGGUGAAAUGCGUAGAUAUCGGGAGGAACACCAGUGGCGAAGGCGACUACCUGGCCUGUUCUUGACGCUGAGGCGCGAAAGCUAGGGGAGCAAACGGG
rnacentral:rRNA from 1 species